AGUCGCCUGUCCUCCUUUCAGCCUAAGAACUGAAGGAACUUGCUGCGGGGUGCUGCGGUCGGGAAAGAGGCUCAAGGCCGCCCCGCCUGCCCUGCCUCUCUGGCUCAGGGAAGGGAGCCUGUGAGCCUCAGCUGGACUUUGACCCACUGAGGAAAAGGCGGGAGUCACAUUCAAACAGAAAAAGUCGAAACCGGGGAGGUGAGAAAGAGCACCACAUACUUGAUGAAGAAGAUUCUCCCGCCGCGAUCCACUCCGUAGGUCCAUCGGCCUGGCAGGUCCAGCCAGUCGAUCUCAUCGGCCAUCUCGGUGUCCCCGCAGCCCCUCUGGCUCUCCGCGCCCGCCCCCCGCGCCAGGCUGGCGCCCCCCACUUUCUGCGCCUCCUAGAGGCGGCGAUGGGGGAGGGGGUCCGGUGUGGUCCGGGCGCACCUCCCGGUCCCCCGGGCCGUGACUCUGGCCUCCCGCGGAAGGCGAGCUGGCCGCCAGCCGGGGACGGGCGGGCACUUAACCCUGGCGGAGCCCGGCCCGAGACACCUCCUGCCUCCUCUGCGCCCCGGAGCUCCGCUUCGGACAAGCUCCUGAAGUUCAGUGCCGGGCAAUUAGCGUGGUGAUACAUCCAUCUCCUCAGUGCCACUUCUUGCUGGAGACCACAACGGACUCCACCCCAGGUUUAUAUGGUCAUUCUCUGCAUGUGCCUUAUAAACACGCUAGAGUGGUAUUAUUCAUCACAGCGCAGUGGAAUGACUGAUUUACUCAUCCGUCUCCUUGACUCAGCUGUGUACAGUCCAAAGGGAGGCUUCCAUCUUACUUUAAAGCCAUAGCACUUGGCUGGGGCUAGCAGCCGCAUAGUGCUUGAACGCUGCCUGGUACGCUCGUGGCUGUGAGCUACUCCUAAUUCCAAUCAUAAUCCUGUACUUUUGAAUGGAAUUUACACAGUAAAUAAAACACUGAGCAACA